rnacentral:rRNA from 1 species
UACGUAGGUGGCAAGCGUUGUCCGGAAUUAUUGGGCGUAAAGCGCGCGUAGGCGGUCCGAUAAGUCUGCUGUGAAAGUCGGGGGCUCAACCCUCGGAUGCCGGUGGAUACUGUCGGGCUUGAGUGCGGAAGAGGCGAGUGGAAUUCCUGGUGUAGCGGUGAAAUGCGCAGAUAUCAGGAGGAACACCAAUUGCGAAGGCAGCUCGCUGGGACGUUACUGACGCUGAUGCGCGAAAGCGUGGGGAGCAAACAGG